UUAAGUUCAGCGGUAUCCUACCUCGAUCCGAGGUCAACCUGAAAAAAUUGGGGGUUAUUGGCAAGUAACCACCUGGAUCUCCGAAGCGAGAAGAAUUACUACGCUUGAAGCCAAAUGGCACCGCCACUGAUUUUAAGACCUGCCAGAAACUGGCAAUGUCCAAUACCAAGCAAAGCUUGAGGGUUGUAAUGACGCUCGAA
rnacentral:misc_RNA from 1 species